GUCUAUGGCCAUACCACCCUGAACACACCCGAUUGCAUCUGAUCUCAGAAGCUAAGCAGGGUCAGGCCUGGUUAGUACUUGGAUGAGAGACCUUACUAGCCAAGAAACCGAUUCUUUUAGGCA
ensembl:rRNA 5S_rRNA 5S ribosomal RNA